rnacentral:lncRNA from 10 species
UUACAGCUGCUGCUGAAGGGAAAGGCAGAAGUGGGGAAGACUUUUUUCAAAAGUCACUAUCUACUGAAGAGAUGAUCUGCAGCCCUGAAGAAGUUUGAAAGGAGAAAAGAACAGUGCCAUUCCUAAUGUAUAUUUCCUCUCUCUGUCUCUUUCUCCCUGUCUUCUUCCUUUACUCCACUGCCUCCCUUGCAAACCUGAGUUUCCUGAGCUGUUAACUCUAGCUGGUCAUGUGGAGUAGGUUAACUUUGAAUUAACUGGUUAUGAGAGUGGAGUGUUACAUUUCACUGGACUGAGUUUCUGAUACUACAAGUGACCAGAACUUUAUGGAAUCUUACCUUAAUGUUAAUACAUGAGAAAGAGGGAUUCCAGAGAGCACAGUUAAAAACAGUGAUGGUGUCCUAUCCCCACCAAAUGAUGAUUAUUUUAGUGAGCUGGUUGUAUCAGCCUUCAACUGUUUGGACUAUGUGAGGGGCUUGCAGUCCAGUCAGGAUGACCCUGUCUUCAAGGGGUUGUGCCUAUCAUCCAUGGAACAUUGGCUACACUAUUCUUAUUCAUGGCUCAAAUGGGGCUGUCAGGAUUCUAAUUCCAGACCUCAAGCUACUUUGUGUUACUAGCCUAGAGUAGGCUUUACUGAAAUAGCUUAUUUUGCUAAGUCAGACUUGUUUAUUACUGCAUUUAUUAUGUGCAGCACACUCAUAUUCAUUCAUUCCUCCUUGGCUUAUAAUUUCUUUUCAAUAAAACUCAGGCUCCUCGUAUCCUUUUUAUAAGCUUUUCAAGUUAACCUGGAGCUCCCCUUGUUAAAAAUAAAUAAAU